rnacentral:rRNA from 1 species
GCAGUCGAGGGGUAUAGGUUUUCGGACCUAGAGACCGGCGCACGGGUGCGUAACGCGUAUGCAAUCUACCUUUUACAGAGGGAUAGCCCAGAGAAAUUUGGAUUAAUACCUCAUAGUAUUAUUGAAUGGCAUCAUUUAAUAAUUAAAGUCACAACGGUAAAAGAUGAGCAUGCGUCCCAUUAGCUUGUUGGUAAGGUAACGGCUUACCAAGGCAACGAUGGGUAGGGGUCCUGAGAGGGAGAUCCCCCACACUGGUACUGAGACACGGACCAGACUCCUACGGGAGGCAGCAGUGAGGAAUAUUGGUCAAUGGGCGCAAGCCUGAACCAGCCAUGCCGCGUGCAGGAUGACGGUCCUAUGGAUUGUAAGCUGCUUUUGUACAGGAAGAAACAGUUCUACGUGUAGAACCUUGACGGUACUGUAAGAAUAAGGAUCGGCUAACUCCGUGCCAGCAGCCGCGGUAAUACGGAGGAUCCAAGCGUUAUCCGGAAUCAUUGGGUUUAAAGGGUCCGUAGGCGGUUUAGUAAGUCAGUGGUGAAAGCCCAUCGCUCAACGGUGGAACGGCCAUUGAUACUGCUAGACUUGAAUUAUUAGGAAGUAACUAGAAUAUGUAGUGUAGCGGUGAAAUGCUUAGAGAUUACAUGGAAUACCAAUUGCGAAGGCAGGUUACUACUAAUGGAUUGACGCUGAUGGACGAAAGCGUGGGUAGCGAACAGGAUUAGAUACCCUGGUAGUCCACGCCGUAAACGAUGGAUACUAGCUGUUCGGAGCAAUCUGAGUGGCUAAACGAAAGUGAUAAGUAUCCC